AGAUUGAACGCUGGCGGCAGGCCUAACACAUGCAAGUCGAGCGGUAGAGAGGUGCUUGCAUCUCUUGAGAGCGGCGGACGGGUGAGUAAUGCCUAGGAAUCUGCCUAGUGGUGGGGGAUAACGUUCGGAAACGGACGCUAAUACCGCAUACGUCCUACGGGAGAAAGCGGGGGACCUUCGGGCCUCGCGCCAUUAGAUGAGCCUAGGUCGGAUUAGCUAGUUGGUGAGGUAAUGGCUCACCAAGGCGACGAUCCGUAACUGGUCUGAGAGGAUGAUCAGUCACACUGGAACUGAGACACGGUCCAGACUCCUACGGGAGGCAGCAGUGGGGAAUAUUGGACAAUGGGCGAAAGCCUGAUCCAGCCAUGCCGCGUGUGUGAAGAAGGUCUUCGGAUUGUAAAGCUACUUUAAGUUGGGAGAAGGUUGUAACCUAAUACGUUGCAACUUUGACGUUACGACAGAAUAAGCACCGGCUAACUUCGUGCCAGCAGCCGUACG
rnacentral:rRNA from 1 species